UAAGACGCUUGCCUCGCUUCAUUGGAGGUGAGCCGUUCGAAUGCGUUGUGCCAAGUGGGCCACUUUUGGUAAGCAGAACUGGCGCUGUGGGAUGAACCAAACGUGUGGUUAAGGUGCCUCAGCUAACGCUUAUGAGAUACCAUGAAAGGUGUUGGUUGAUAAAGACAGCAGGGCGGUGGCCAUGGAAGUCGGAAUCCGCUAAGGAGUGUGUAACAACUCACCUGCCGAAUCAACUAGCCCUGAAAAUGGAUGGCGCUCCAGCGUCAUACCUAUACCACACCGUCGCGGCAAUAUAUUCACCCAGGAUGUGAAGCUGCGAUGAGUAGGAGGGCCGCUGCGGUAUGCGUGGAAGCCUAAGGCGUGAGCCUGGGUGGAGCUGCCGUGGGUGCAGAUCUUGGUGGUAGUAGCAAGUAUUCAAAUGAAAACUUUGAAGACUGAAGUGGAGAAGGGUUCCACGUGAACAGCACUUGAACGUGGGUGAGUCGGUCCUAAGUGAUAGGAGAACUCCGUUCUGAAAUGAGGCAAUUUGUUUUCUCUUGGUCCUAUUUGGGGAGCUUGCCUAAUCCUAUCGAAAGGGAAUCGCGUUAAUAUUCGCGAACUCGGCUGCGGAGAUUGCUCUCUCGGGAGCACAUGUGGUAACACAACCAAACUUGGAGACGCUAGCGGUGGUCCCGGGAAGAGAUUUCUUUUCUUUGUUAGGAACAGAACCCCUGGAAUCGGCUUGUCCGGAGAUAGGGGCGUUGUUGCCGUAAAGCACCGCGGCUCUUGCGGUGUCCGGAGCAUUAUCGUUGGCCCUUGAAAAUCCAAGAGCGGUAUUAUGAUUUUCGUGUCGAGCCGUACCCAUAUCCGCAUCAGGUCUCCAAGGUGAAAAGCCUCU
rnacentral:rRNA from 1 species